UGCCAUAAAGCAAUAACAAAAACAAAUCUAUGAUCCUCUUUUACAACCCAGAACUCAUUGUUCAGUAUGAGUUUUGAUACAGAUAAGAAGGAACAUG
ensembl:snoRNA small nucleolar RNA SNORA40